CCUACGGGAGGCAGCAGUGGGAAAUAUUGGACAAUGGGCGAAAGCCUGAUCCAGCCAUGCCGCGUGUGUGAAGAAGGCCUUCGGGUUGUAAAGCACUUUCAGUGGGGAAGAAAGCCUUGGGGCUAAUACCCUCGAGGAAGGACAUCACCCACAGAAGAAGCACCGGCUAACUCCGUGCCAGCAGCCGCGGUAAUACGGAGGGUGCGAGCGUUAAUCGGAAUUACUUGGCGUAAAGCGCGCGUAGGCGGUCUGAUAAGCCGGUUGUGAAAGCCCCGGGCUCAACCUGGGAACGGCAUCCGGAACUGUCAGGCUAGAGUGCAGGAGAGGAAGGUAGAAUUCCCGGUGUAGCGGUGAAAUGCGUAGAGAUCGGGAGGAAUACCAGUGGCGAAGGCGGCCUUCUGGACUGACACUGACGCUGAGGUGCGAAAGCGUGGGUAGCAAACAGGAUUAGAUACCCCUGUAGUC
rnacentral:rRNA from 1 species